UAGAUACCCUAUUAUUUUGGAUUUAAAAUUUAAACUUGAGUAGUAUUAGGUAUGGUCUUGAAACUUAAAGAAUUUGGCGGUAUCUUAGUCUAGUUAGAGGAAUCUGUUCCAUUAUCGAUAAUCCGCGUUUGACCUUACUUAAUAUAAUUUAAUAUGUAUACCGCCGUUUAUUUGAUGAAAAUCUUUUUAGAGAUAAUUUUCUUUAAAUUUUAAUUAAUUUUAUUUCAGGUCAAGGUGCAGUUUAUAAUUAAGUGGUGAUGGAUUACAUUAUUUAUAAAGUAAACGGAUUAAAGUUUGAAAAUAUUUUAUGAAGGGGGAUUUAAUAGUAAUUAAUAAUAAGAAUUAUUUUUGUGAUUUUAGCUCUAAGAUGUGUACACAUCGCCCGUCACUCUCGUUAUUAAGAUGAGAUAAGUC
rnacentral:rRNA from 1 species